GAACUCCUUAACUUGAGGGUGAACAACUUAAAGCUUGAUCCUACAGUUACCUGAAAAGUGAUUUGAGUAUUCAUUGAACUGAAAGAACAAAUCGCCUACUUCAGGCGGUGGCAAGCGUAUGGAAAUUAUAUUAGAACUUCAGCAAAGUGCACAGCUGCAUAAUAGAGAAGCCGGCACUCAGAUUGACAGGCAAAUAAGCCAGCUUGUGGAAGGGGCCUCUGGGUGGCAGCUCUGGGCUUUUGGGUGUUGGACAACCAUAGGCAAAACUGAAAUGGAACAGGGGCAGAAAAUAGCACACUUUUACUCUACGCAACUGUUGCUUUUUCAUGAUCUUCAGGAAUUUUACUGGGAUAAUUAUCCAAAUAAAUUGCAAGCAUUCUAUCCAAAUGGAGCUCUUUCUGAGAUGAAGAGAAUUCUCAAUGUCAAGAUUUGAACAAGAAGAGAAUGGAAUACACAAUAUGGACAUCCAUAAAAAUUCAUCAGAGAGCAUUUUACUACUGAGCUGCAAAGGGAAAAACUUAAAAUGGAUAUGAAAAGUGAAGAAAGUGAUCAUAGGAGAAAACCAUUUCAGGUGUCUGAUGAUUUGUGAGCCUCAAGUGACUACUCUGUGGAAUCAUCUGUCCUUGCCUUUGAAUUAGCUUUCCCUAGGCCAUGAGUCAACAUUAGUAGUUUAUACAUCCAAAUUGAUGACAAGAGCACCUCAAAGGCAGCAGCCUCAAGGAGCAGCCAUGGCCCCAGACUUGUCGCACGGAUGCAGAAAACUUAAUGGAGGAGGCUGAGGAACUCUUCCAGACUCUGGGAAAUAUGUCUCCAAGAAAGCAGACAAUACCCCUGCCCUCUGUGGAAGACUGACAAAUAUACAAGUGCAUAUGUAUAUAUAGACUGUCAGAUGAUGUAAGUAUGAUGAAGAAAAUGAA
rnacentral:lncRNA from 1 species